AUACAUGCAAGUCGAGCGGACGAUUCCCAUUCUUGCUUUUGAAUCGUUAGCGGCGGACGGGUGAGUAACACGUGGGCAACCUGCCCUGUAGACGGGGAUAACACCGAGAAAUCGGUGCUAAUACCGGAUAACACGAAAGACCGCAUGGUUUUUCGUUGAAAGGCGGCGCAAGCUGUCGCUACAGGAUGGGCCCGCGGCGCAUUAGCUAGUUGGUGAGGUAACGGCUCACCAAGGCGACGAUGCGUAGCCGACCUGAGAGGGUGAUCGGCCACACUGGGACUGAGACACGGCCCAGACUCCUACGGGAGGCAGCAGUAGGGAAUCUUCCGCAAUGGACGAAAGUCUGACGGAGCAACGCCGCGUGAGCGAAGAAGGCCUUCGGGUCGUAAAGCUCUGUUGUUAGGGAAGAACAAGUACCGCAGUCACUGGUGGUACCUUGACGGUACCUAACGAGAAAGCCACGGCUAACUACGUGCCAGCAGCCGCGGUAAUACGUAGGUGGCAAGCGUUGUCCGGAAUUAUUGGGCGUAAAGCGCGCGCAGGCGGUUCCUUAAGUCUGAUGUGAAAGCCCACGGCUCAACCGUGGAGGGUCAUUGGAAACUGGGGGACUUGAGUGCAGAAGAGGAGAGCGGAAUUCCACGUGUAGCGGUGAAAUGCGUAGAGAUGUGGAGGAACACCAGUGGCGAAGGCGGCUCUCUGGUCUGUAACUGACGCUGA
rnacentral:rRNA from 1 species